GUAGGUGGCAAGCGUUGUCCGGAAUUAUUGGGCGUAAAGCGCGCGCAGGCGGUUCUUUAAGUCUGAUGUGAAAGCCCACGGGCUCAACCGUGGAGGUCAUUGGAAACUGAGAACUUGAGUACAGAAGAGGAAAGCGGAAUUCCACGUGUAGCGGUGAAAUGCGUAGAGAUGUGGAGGAACACCAGUGGCGAAGGCGGCUUUCUGGUCUGUAACUGACGCUGAGGCGCGAAAGCGUGGGGAGCAAACAGGAUUAGAUACCCUGGUAGUCCACGCCGUAAACGAUGAGUGCUAAGUGUUACGGGGGUUUCCGCCCCUUAGUGCUGCAGCUAACGCAUUAAGCACUCCGCCUGGGGAGUACGACCGCAAGGUUG
rnacentral:rRNA from 1 species